UCAAAAUAAAUAAACUAAUAGCUAGCUUGCUGCCACCAACGUGGAGACUUAGUACUGCAUCCUGUUCUUAGUACUCAAAUGUCCCAACCUGAAGCUGAAGAAGUCACCCUGGCUGUACAUGCCGUCAGCCAUGACUGUGUAUGCUCUGGUGGUGGUGUCUUACUUCAUCAUCACUGGAGGAAUAAUUUAUGAUGUUAUUGUUGAACCUCCAAGUGUUGGCUCUAUGACUGGUGAACGUGGGCAUCAGAGGCCAGUAGCUUUCUUGGCCUACAGAGUAAAUGGGCAAUAUAUCAUGGAAGGACUUGCAUUCAGCUUCCUGUUUACAAUGGGAGGUUUAGAUUUCAUAAUCCCGGACCAAUGGAAUGCACCAAAUAUCCCAAAAUUCAAUAAACUUCUUCUUCUAUUCAUUGGAUUCCUCUAUGUCCUAUUGAUGUUUUUCAUGGCUAGAGUAUUCAUGAGAAUGAAACUGCUGGGCUAUCUGAUGGGUUAGAGUGCCUUUGAGAAGAAAUCAGCGGAUACUGGAUUUGCUCCAGUCAGUGAAGUUUAAAGGCUGUACCAAUCCUCUAAUAUGAAAUACAGAAAAGAAUGAAGAGCAGCAGUAAAAGAAAUACACAGUGAAAAUACAGGAAUCAUAUUGAAGCUUGGAGUAGAAUUUUUUCUUGGUAUUAAAGAGACAAGUUGAUCACAAUAUUUUUUUUUUCCUGCUGACCUAUUGCUAUACCAACGAUGUUGAGUGGUAUUUUCUUUUUAGUUUUUCAUUUCUUAAAGAAAAUAU